UUGCCCUGUGACUUGUCUUUAUCAAUUUGACCAGAGAGAAUAUUUUCUCCACCUCUGCUGUACUGGGUGGCCUUGUAUUAUUGUAACACUAAUUAGUGUUGCAACAAGAGGGUACAUAGAUAAUAGUUUUUUUCCUUAUGACAAGGUGAAUGAAAUAGCUCUAGCAGACUAGGUAAGGAACGAUCUGUAAGUUCCUCUUUUUGAAGCUAUGGGCCAUUCUGGGUCUUUCUUGUUGUCAACAAAUUGACAGUUGUCUCAAUUACAGUUUCAGGGGUCUCAUUUCCAUUAUUACUGAAAGAAGAUAUAGGAAGAGUGGGUUAAACUUUACAUUGAAAAUUGUUUUGUUUUGGUUGGGAAUGUAAAUAAGAGUGCCAAUGAGACAAUUGUCUUUAUUUCAAUCUUGAGAAAUAGAUUAAUUCAAC
rnacentral:lncRNA from 1 species